GAUACACAAAUGGCUAAUAAGUGCAUGAGAAGAUGCUCAACAUCAGAAGAAAUAAUCAGAGAAAUAAUUUCCCAGACCUGGAUACAAGUCUUCCGAACAAAAGGUUUAUUGAACAGGCUGUGAAAUGGGAAAGUAUAAAUGAUAAAGUUUUUUGAAAUUUCAAAACACAAAGCUUGAAGAGAGCAUUUCUUUUUGAUAUUCCCUCCCCUUCAGAGCAUUUUCUUUGCACAGGUUGAAGCACUGGAAUCCUCCGUUUCCUUUAACUGCUCAUCCCUCAGCUGACCGUCAUCGCAGGCUGGUUUCUUCGGAAAUGUCUGUCAGUUCGUGAGGAAAUCCUAAGUCCCGAAGGUGAUGGUCAGGAGGCUGAGGUGACCGGGAGGUGUGUGACAGUGUCAUGAGGGUGUCACUCACGAAGAGAUGCCAUACGAGGAGAUUCCUGGCCCCUCCAGCACAUGAAGAUCUGAGGAGUCUGCAGCCUGGAAGAGGCCCCUCACGUGACCACGCUGGCUCCCUGAUCGUGGACUUCCAGCCUCCAGAACUAGGCGAAGCCGACUUCUCUUGUUUAUAAGCUGUCUAGUCUGGGGUAUUUUGCCACAAGAGCACCAACAAAGACACUAUCCAAGCAGCAAAAACUGUGAAAAACUCAAAAAUUACAUUGUUUGGAAUUUGGAAUCCGGGUGGCUGUGCUCAAAGCAGCAACGAUGAUUCUUACCUCUUGUCUGUGCUGUUUCUGAACAGGGAAACAAUGAUAUUUAAAGACACCCAGAAACCUCAACAAAAAUGUCUGUGGGCCGUGCCCGAGCGGUCUGCUGAACAGAAUCGGGGUCUAACGUAAAGAAUCAGCCGGCUCCAAUAUUUGAAAGGCCCAGACGUAUAAAGGAUGUAUGUGCUGAGGCAGCUGCAAUUAAUAAAUUAAGAAGGUGACCAGGUGAAGCUCUGAGGAUUUUUAAAUAAUCUUACUUGCUGUUCCUUGAAAGGACCAAACCCCAAAAUUUUUAAAGAUCCUUGCUUGGGGGUCCUUUCUGUGCCCCCAAAGCAGCGACCAGUGCAUUUUUCGAUCUAAAGCUUCCCCGCCGUGAGGUGUAAAGGCUCCCGUGGAGCACGGGCUGGAGUUGGCCAGUGUCUUGGCUCCGCUGCCGUCACCUUCCUGUCCGACUAGCGUCACCCAGCCUUCCAUGCCAGGACCGCAUCCCCUCCUGGCUGCUUGUGAGGCUUCAGAGCAAACACCUGGCUCUCCUUAUUCUGACCCAACUACAGCCAAACCUAACAGACCUAUGCACGAGGUCCCACGCACUGAAGACUUUCUAACUGGAUGUAUUUG